GCCGCGGUAAUUCCAGCUCCAAUAGCGUAUACUAAAGUUGUUGCGGUUAAAAAGCUCGUAGUUGGAUCUUGGAAUGUGUUCAAGCGGGUCAGCUUCUGGCUGUGCGCUGCUUGACGUGUUCUUCUAUUUGGUUUUGGUGCGGUGCGCUUAACUGCGUGUCGCUCCCGGCCGAAACGUUUACCUUGAAAAAAUUAGAGUGUUCAAAGCAGACCUGUUUGAGUCUGAAUAUUCGUGCAUGGAAUAAUGAAAUAUGAAUUCGGUUCUAUUUUGUUGGUUUUCGGAACUCGAGUUAAUGAUCAAGAGGGACAGACGGGGGCAUUCGUACUCUGCCGUUAGAGGUGAAAUUCUUGGAUCGGCGGAAGACGCGCAACUGCGAAAGCAUUUGCCAAGAAUGUUUUCUUUAAUCAAGAACGAUAGUCGGAGGUUCGAAGACGAUCAGAUACCGUCCUAGUUUCGACUGUAAACUAUGCCAGCUAACGAUCAGACAGAGUUCUCUACGACUUGUCUGGCAGUUUCCGGGAAACCAAAGCGUUUGGGUUCCGGGGGAAGUAUGGUUGCAAAGCUGAAACUUAAAGGAAUUGACGGAAGGGCACCACCAGGAGUGGAGCCUGCGGCUUAAUUCGACUCAACACGGGGAAACUCACCCGGCCCGGACACAGUGAGGAUUGACAGAUUGAGAGUUCUUUCUUGAUUCUGUGGGUGGUGGUGCAUGGCCGUUCUUAGUUGGUGGAGCGAUUUGUCUGGUUAAUUCCGAUAACGAACGAGACUCUGGCAUGUUAAAUAGUCGCGGAAGUGCGUAUGCACUUGCCGAAUUGACUUCUUAGAGGGACUAGUGAUUUUAAUUCACACGAGAUUGAGCAAUAACAGGUCUGUGAU
rnacentral:rRNA from 1 species